GAGGAGCACUAAGUGCUCAGAACAGCUGGAAAGGCAAAGCUUGGGGCAUCACAUGCAUUUCUAUUCCACUUACAGGUGUGAGCUGACUAGCAUGACUAAGGGUAAGGAUAUAAGUGGAAAAGAACAUGUGCCAUUCUCUGCCCAUGUGUACUCAAGUUUGCCAUGCAGAAAGACUAUCUAGUAAGUAAUCAAGUCAUGGCUGUCUGAAUGGAAAAGAACAACUCAGCAACAGGCCCAGGGUUCUUCAUGCUCAGUCUUAUUGUCAUCUUCUGCAGUAUCAGCCUUUCCUGAGACUUUUAUGUUGGAAAUGGGCCUUAUCCACUAAGGGUAAGUACUUGAUACAAACACCAACAGGUUAAUAGUGAAAAGCUGCUCUUUCCUCACUCCCUAUAGUAACACAUUAGAAGAGCCAUGCAGGCAAAGUGCACUGGUAAGUGCUUUGCCAUAGAGAGUAAAAUACAGUAAUGAGAAAAGAGAGAGUGGCAAUAUCCAAGCUACCUUCAUCAGCAACUCAAACAUGGGUCAUAACUGUAGGAAAUGUAACCAAGCUUAUCGGAUCCUCAGC
rnacentral:lncRNA from 1 species